rnacentral:tRNA from 1 species
GCGGGUAUGGCGGAAUUGGCAGACGCGCCGGACUUAGAAUCCGGUGUCUAGCGACGUGAAGGUUCAAGUCCUUUUACCCGCA